CCUACGGGUGGCAGUAGUCGAGAAUCAUUCACAAUGGGGGAAACCCUGAUGGUGCGACGCCGCGUGGGGGAAUGAAGGUCUUCGGAUUGUAAACCCCUGUCAUGUGGGAGCAAAUUAAAAAGAUAGUACCACAAGAGGAAGAGACGGCUAACUCUGUGCCAGCAGCCGCGGUAAUACAGAGGUCUCAAGCGUUGUUCGGAAUCACUGGGCGUAAAGCGUGCGUAGGCUGUUUCGUAAGUCGUGUGUGAAAGGCGCGGGCUCAACCCGCGGACGGCACAUGAUACUGCGAGACUAGAGUAAGGGAGGGGGAACCGGAAUUCUCGGUGUAGCAGUGAAAUGCGUAGAUAUCGAGAGGAACACUCGUGGCGAAGGCGGGUUCCUGGACAUUAACUGACGCUGAGGCACGAAGGCCAGGGGAGCGAAAGGGAUUAGAUACCCCAGUAGUC
rnacentral:rRNA from 1 species